rnacentral:lncRNA from 1 species
AUUAAAUUGUAUAUUUAUAUCAAUUAUUGAAAUGGUAAUGAAUAAUCAAACAAUUAUCUAUUUAUUGUUAAUAUUGAUCAUGUUGAUAACGACUUAUUUGAACUCAGUUUUAGCUCACCAGUGCAUGUGAGCUUAUGCCAUCAUUUGGUGUCUGUCAUUGUCUGUUAUCUGUUGUCUGUUUCAAAAACUAUUUAAACAAGAAUGUGUCCAAAGUACACGGAUGCCCC